rnacentral:rRNA from 1 species
CCGAAUGGGGAAACCCAGUGUGACUCGUCACACUAUCAUUAACUGAAUCCAUAGGUUAAUGAGGCGAACCGGGGGAACUGAAACAUCUAAGUACCCCGAGGAAAAGAAAUCAACCGAGAUUCCCCCAGUAGCGGCGAGCGAACGGGGAGGAGCCCAGAGCCUGAAUCAGCAUGUGUGUUAGUGGAAGCGUCUGGAAAGGCGCGCGAUACAGGGUGACAGCCCCGUACACAAAAGCGCAUGUGCUGUGAGCUCGAUGAGUAGGGCGGGACACGUGGUAUCCUGUCUGAAUAUGGGGGGACCAUCCUCCAAGGCUAAAUACUCCUGACUGACCGAUAGUGAACCAGUACCGUGAGGGAAAGGCGAAAA